rnacentral:rRNA from 1 species
GACGUAGGGGGCGAGCGUUGUCCGGAUUUAUUGGGCGUAAAGCGCGCGUAGGCGGCUCGGUAAGUCGGAUGUGAAAAUCCGGGGCUCAACCCCGGACCUGCAUUCGAUACUGCCGGGCUAGAGGCAGGCAGGGGAGAUCGGAAUUCCUGGUGUAGCGGUGAAAUGCGCAGAUAUCAGGAGGAACACCGGUGGCGAAGGCGGAUCUCUGGGCCUGUCCUGACGCUCAGGCGCGAAAGCUAGGGGAGCAAACAGG